UAAAAUCAAAUUUGGCAGAGCUUACAAGGGCAGCGAACGUGGAGCCACUUGACUCUGGAGAAAGGCAGCGACAGUGCGCAGCUCUGAAGCUCUCCAGUUGCUACCUGAAAGGUUGGAAGUGUUUCCUUCCUUCUGAAUGCGUGUGAAAAUAUACGUGUGACCCUACCUACGUGUUCAAUGGUCUCUCAUGUUCCGUGCAGAGAUUUUCCUGCCUCUCUGGGAGGAACACACAGGAGAGUUUGCAGUGCAGUUUGUGUUCACUGGGCUUCAGGUUUCUAAAAGAGAGCUAAGAAGGCAGGUGAUGUGGGAUGGGCAGGGCCAUUGCUGCCCCAAAGUGUUCAGAUGUGUUGUGACCUCCGGAAGGGGAAUUUUUAGAGCAACUGAAGUUAGAAAUCUGGGAUCAGUUUGGAUGUUUGAAAGUCACAGCAACAACCAUUUGUAAGAGCGUAUCAUGCUCAGUAGUAAGACUGCAUAAGGGCACAGGAUGAAGCAUCUGAUUUUUUUUUUUCCCUUUUGGCAUUCUGUUUGCGACAAUUACAUGGCUCUCUAUUAACUGUGCGUGGAAGAAAGCAGUGUUAUGAAAUGAGGAGAGAUUUCCUUCAUCUGUUACUCUGUAGGUAAUUUUUGUGCUUUUUCCAGUAUUUAAGUACCUCUUAACUGCUUGCUG
rnacentral:lncRNA from 1 species